GGAAUGGCAAGAGGGUGUCAUCAGGAUGCAACGGCUUUGGAGAUGAGGGGAGAAUAGGGUGGGAAUUGUCCCCCCCUCAUGACAUCUCUAUCACUCACGAGCAUUCCCACAGUGACUGUUUCCUAUCACUUCCCAAUUGCCAAGAAAUCCCCUCCUGCUGCUGCAAGAAGCGUGACAGCUCCUAGCAACUGUCUCCUCAUGGCGGUAAAAGCAAGCGGUUCUGAAGGGGCAGGUGCUGUUACCUGGCUCAGCUGAGAAAAUUGCUCGGCGCUGCAGCAGUUUGUGUCGUGAUUAUCAACUCCCCAACUGGGAAAACAAUGGUUCAAUAGGGAAUUACAGAGGUGGAACAGAGUGAAGAUGGGCGGUGAUGGCUGAACAUCAUGUGAAGAUCUCCACAGGCAGAAAUAUGGAAAUUAUAGAAUAUUUUCCACGAUGCAAAGGGCAGGAUUCCCGUGCAGUGUUGGCAUAUGCAGAGCAGCUGGGAAAGGUGGGGAUGGAACGUACCACGCUGUCACUUCUGGGGAAAGCAGCCAAAUGCACUGACAGUUCUCAUGUAGGCUGGCUCCAAACCAAAUGGCUUCCCAGCAGGAUUUCCAAAUUACUACCUUGACCACUGCAUGUGCUUCUUCCACGGUCUGAAAAUCCAUCUAUGUAAAUGAACAUUCCUUCAUUGUACCAGGAUAAUUAAUUUCUGCCCUAAAGUGCUGCUUUCCAGUUCACAUUUCUCUGGUCCCUGUGAGGAUCUUAACAAGGCUGAGAAGCCUCAGGCCUCACCCUGCCUGCAUCGAGAGCUGUUUAACUGCUUGUGACUCCUCUCCCAAACCUUGGAGGGGGCACCUCCACAGGCCAGAGCUUUGCAGAGCCCAUCCAAUUGCAUUGCAAAGAUGAAGGGCAUCCAAGGGCUUGCUUAAAGUGCUGCUGAAAUGUGGUCUCCUCUGGAAUGAAACACAAUCAUUGAUUAACAACAUGCACAAUUAGCCUUUUAAAGUCCAGCUCGAGAAGAAAUUGCAGACAGG